AUUGAACGCUGGCGGCAUGCCUUACACAUGCAAGUCGAACGGUAACAGGUCUUCGGAUGCUGACGAGUGGCGAACGGGUGAGUAAUACAUCGGAACGUGCCCAGACGUGGGGGAUAACGAGGCGAAAGCUUUGCUAGUACCGCAUACGAUCUAAGGAUGAAAGCAGGGGACCGCAAGGCCUUGUGCGUUUGGAGCGGCCGAUGGCAGAUUAGGUAGUUGGUGGGAUAAAAGCUUACCAAGCCGACGAUCUGUAGCUGGUCUGAGAGGACGACCAGCCACACUGGGACUGAGACACGGCCCAGACUCCUACGGGAGGCAGCAGUGGGGAAUUUUGGACAAUGGGCGAAAGCCUGAUCCAGCAAUGCCGCGUGCAGGAUGAAGGCCUUCGGGUUGUAAACUGCUUUUGUACGGAACGAAAAGGCUCUGGCUAAUACCUGGGGCACAUGACGGUACCGUAAGAAUAAGCACCGGCUAACUACGUG
rnacentral:rRNA from 1 species